UACAGAGGGGGCAAGCGUUGUUCGGAAUUACUGGGCGUAAAGGGCGCGUAGGCGGCCUGGUAAGUCAGACGUGAAAUCCCUCGGCUCAACCGGGGAACUGCGUCUGAUACUGGCGGGCUUGAGUUCGGGAGAGGGAUGUGGAAUUCCAGGUGUAGCGGUGAAAUGCGUAGAUAUUUGGAGGAACACCGGUGGCGAAGGCGGCAUCCUGGACCGACAUUGACGCUGAGGCGCGAAAGCCAGGGGAGCAAACGGG
rnacentral:rRNA from 1 species